UUUGAAGCUAUGUGCCAUGGUUGUGCAGUUUCCAAAACCAGACAAGGAUCCCUCUGGUUUUGUGAAUCAGCUGGCAUGGUAUGCUGUUAUGAUCCUACUAAGAGAUGCAUGUAUAAUUGAUGACAUGUUUAAGGGGUAGAUUUGGUGAGACAGAGCCAGCUGUGACUCUCGCAGUUCAAGAUGAGGAUGCACAGAGUAGACCUGACUGGAUAAAGGUUUAUAAAGCUCCAUUAAUGUGUUGUGCCCUUAGACUGAGAAUAGUGGAGGGACAAGAAGCAGCACAUGUCUCACGUCCACUUAUCUGUAUUUGAGUUGAGCUUUACAUUUUUAGACUAACAAACCUACAUUUCUUGUUCUCAGUGAACGCACCUAGUUUCAGGACCAUGCUUGUGGUGACGAUCUUUUUCCCUUCCUACCCGUUCUAAAUUGACUGCACUGUUCCACAGCUCCCUAGUUGAGUAUCUGAAAGCACCAGUCAGGGAGAAGGAAGCCACUGAGGGACAGUGUUCGGAAAAGCCGAUGUGACGCUGGGACCCAGAAGUUGUCGUGUUCACCUGUGAAGAAGACAAGGACCCUGCUGUACCAGACCCUCAUCGACAAUGACUCCUCUGCACCAUGAGUUGUUGAUCUCUUCAGAAACGUCAGGACACUCAAGCUGGAGAAAACCUGCUGACGCAAACAGGACCAUGAGGAGGCUGCUACCGACGUCCACACCAACCUCUUUGGUCCUGAGAACUGAGCCUGACUUGAUGAGAUCUUGAAGGGACUGUUUCAGCUGAAGCUCAGUUGGCCUUACCUGAGGCCACCACCUCCUCCUUGGAGGAGAUUACUGCAGCUACUGAGCUCUAACCUUUCCUCUGGAGUAGUGUGUUCCUUGACACUAUUUGAAGACUUUGUUUGAAUUUUGGAACUUUACUACAGAGUUGUACAAAAUUGGGUCAUUUUUCCAUCAUUAAAUGGUGGAAGAACUGGGACAGGCUUAGUGGUUAGACUGAUUCUCCAUACACAUGAAGUUGUGCUGUGACAUGUUGUAAGUCUGUCUUGAUAAGUGUAGUUGUGCUGUUUUCUAAAUCAUCACUGCCCAGAUUUUAAUAACUAUUUUACUUUAAAUGUCUGAGUUGUCUCACUCUGCCAAGUUUCAAGGGGAGAAUCGUGCUUCAGCUAGGCCGGGGGAGGGAAAGUUUUGCAUUUACUAGAUUUUGCGGACAUGGGAGGCCUCCCAGCAGGGGAAUGUAUCCUACCCCUGUAAAGUAUUGUCGCUGAUUGUAGGGAUAAGUUUAGCAGUUUCAUACGUAGAUGGGAUUGUUGUCAGACCUCGUUUGCGCGGUAGCAGCGAUACCAACUGAGCGUGGGUUCUUGGGAGGGAGCAAGCCUGACAGAGACAGACAACUCAGAUGAUCAAAUAAGCUCGGAGACACUCACUUUGAGUGUAUUUGCAUUCUUUUCCAUGAUGAGAAUGACUGGAGUGAUGACUGAAAACUAUCCACUCACCCUAACCGGUCGAGGCAGAAGGCCGCCCACCUUGAGUCGGGGUCUGUCGGAGGUUUCUUCCUAUAAAGAUUUCUUCCAC